rnacentral:SRP_RNA from 1 species
GGUUGGGUCCUGCGCAACUGCGCCCCGUGAACCGAGUCAGGGCCGGAAGGCAGCAGCUCUCAGCGGAAGGCGCGGUGUGCCGCAGUCCAGCCUGACCGUC